rnacentral:rRNA from 1 species
CGGUGGAGCAUGUGGUUAAUUCGAAGCAACGCGAAGAACCUUACAGUCUUGACAUCCCGAUGCUAUUUCUAGAGAUAGAAAGUUACUUCGGUACAUCGGUGACAGGUGGUGCACGGUUGUCGUCAGCUCGUGUCGUGAGAUGUUGGGUUAAGUCCCGCAACGAGCGCAACCCCUAUUGUUAGUUGCCAUCAUUCAGUUGGGCACUCUAGCGAGACUGCCGGUAAUAAACCGGAGGAAGGUGGGGAUGACGUCAAAUCAUCAUGCCCCUUAUGACCUGGGCUACACACGUGCUACAAUGGUUGGUACAACGAGUUGCGAGUCGGUGACGGCGAGCUAAUCUCUUAAAGCCAAUCUCAGUUCGGAUUGUAGGCUGCAACUCGCCUACAUGAAGUCGGAAUCGCUAGUAAUCGCGGAUCAGCACGCCGCGGUGAAUACGUUCCCGGGCCUU